rnacentral:lncRNA from 1 species
UUUUUUUUUUUUUGGCUCAGUGCCUUUUUUGCUACCUCCAAGAGCUGUUAAUUUUGUUCACUGCUGAGCAAAAGUCAAAGUCAGAGUCUAAACAGCUUGUAAUGAGUUUUCAAUGGCCCAUCUCACUGAAAUUGAGGGCAAAGGAGCAGCAGACUUAGACACUGUCAACCCUCUGAAUUUAUUAUUGAGGGAGCAAUGCAUUCAGUAGAAAAUACAUAGAGGAGGGGCUGAGAAUUCUGUCAGUUUUGCAUUAAGCCUCUAACAAAGAUGUGUAUUACUUAUGUAAAUACCUUGACAACACAGAUAAACACACAGAAAUCAAUGUAAUGUGGCUCAAUUAACUGUGCAGCUAGAUUGGUAGUAGAGUAUGUUGCAGUAACUUUAUUUGGCAGCCACUUAGUACUGUUAGUUUUAUAUCCUGAUCCAGAAAAGUGAUUAAUACUUUGCUAAAUACCUUAAAGUCACGAAGAAACCAGGGGUUAAAGAGUGCUUAGCACUGAUAAGGAGUCAGUGAUAAUUUUGUGAGUCCUUAGUGACUGUUUUUAUAGACUGUACAAAAAAGGUUAUCUUUCACCUGUGCAGCAGUAAUGCCAGUGCUUGUGAGUCUGACUCCUAAAGAAGUUUUUGUAGUUCUGUCUCUUCAAGUGUACACUUGAAUCUAUUUCACUAAUCUCUACACAAGCUAUAUGCUUCUUAGUUUUUCUGCUUCAUGUUUGUUGUUUUUUUUUUUUCCUAGCAGUGCUCUUACAUAUGGUGAAUCCUAUUGUUUCAUCUUCACUGAAUCUUUGAUUUAAAAUUACAGAUGUAAGCUGAUCUAGUAGCUCUAUUCCUUCAAAAACAAGCAAUAAAGCUACUAUUAGGGUUUCUAAACCCAGGAAAGAAUUCUCAACAGAGAACUUCUGAAUUUAUAACUACAAUUCUGUAGCCUGUAGUUGAGUUAAUGUUAUGAAGGAAGUCAGGCUUUAUGGGUAGAUUGGUGAAGAAUAGUACUGUAAGAUUUUUAAAUACUGUCUGAAGGAGUAGUCCCAGAUGAGUAUACAUACAAGAAGCAACAUGGGAGAAUUGUGGAUGAGGUGGCAUAGGAUCAAUGAUUUAUUGGUCUUAUUUGGGAUGAUAUGAAAAUGCAUUUACAGUUUCACACAUGUAAAGUCUGUUACCUCAAUCUUUCCCCAGUCACGCCUUUCAUUUCACCACAAAUACUCCAUUCUAUAUACACACACUUCACAUAUCUUUCUUUUUUUCUUACAGUUACAUAACCCAUAAAGAACUACACUUCUGUGAUAUUUUAUGCUACUUUUUUUGCUCAUCACUACUUAAAGUAGGGAAUAACACUGAGGAAAAGUUAGCAAUUAAAAAUGCAAGGCUUGCUUUGAUUUGAUGUC